rnacentral:rRNA from 1 species
GUUGAACGCUGGCGGCGUGCCUAAUACAUGCAAGUCGAGCGAACGGACGAGAAGCUUGCUUCUCUGAUGUUAGCGGCGGACGGGUGAGUAACACGUGGAUAACCUGCCUAUAAGACUGGGAUAACGUCGGGAGACCGGAGCUAAUACCGGAUAAUAUUUUGAACCGCAUGGUUCAAAAGUGAAAGACGGUCUUGCUGUCACUUAGAGAUGGAUCCGCGCUGCAUUAGCUAGUUGGUAAGGUAACGGCUUACCAAGGCAACGAUGCAUAGCCGACCUGAGAGGGUGAUCGGCCACACUGGAACUGAGACACGGUCCAGACUCCUACGGGAGGCAGCAGUAGGGAAUCUUCCGCAAUGGGCGAAAGCCUGACGGAGCAACGCCGCGUGAGUGAUGAAGGUCUUCGGAUCGUAAAACUCUGUUAUUAGGGAAGAACAUAUGUGUAAGUAACUGUGCACAUCUUGACGGUACCCAAUCAGAAAGCCACGGCUAACUACGUG